CAAUGUGAGCACAGUCCUUGCGGUGGUAUGAGAGGUGGCCUCGACGGUGGAGCCCAUCCUGGGAUGCCAUCACCAGGAAGAGAGAGUUGGUACUCCCAGCCUGGGGAAACUCUGAUAAAGGUGACAGGAGGCUCCAUCCCAGGCACAUGCCCGGUGAAAGGGCAUUUUAUUCAGGGUGAAGAACAUGUGCUACUGUCUACAGAGUGCGUCCAUGUACGUCACCUCUUCUCACUGCCACAGCAUCCCUUUGAAGCAGCCACAUAAGGCCGAAGUUCUUCUCCCCAAAGCUGUAAAAAAUACACACUGAAAACCUCCCAGUUUUCCUAUGGAUGAACAAUCCGCAGAUUUUUAGAAAUUGUUCCAGGGUCUCAGUAGUAACCCUUGCAGGCAAGUCUGGCCCAGGAUCUGGACAAUUCUAGAGGCAGGAAGCACAGAGACGAAGGGGACUCACUGCCUGACCGCAGAGAAAGGAGCUGUGCCUUUUGACCAGAUGGAGAAACUGAGGCACAGAGCCCAACUGGGACGCAGUGGAAUCGAGAUUUGAAUGCAGACAGUCUAGCUCCAGAGUUCUUGCUUGCCCACUGUGCUACACUGGCUAGGCUGGAAACAAGGCACAGGGAGACAUGGGGCCUCAGCUGGAAAAAUGGCCCUAAGCUCUGGCUAACACAGUGGAAAGUGCACAGGCCCUGGGGUCCUACUUUGGCUUUUUUUAAACUGCAGGUAAAGGUCCAAGUCUAUAUUCAUAUCUGUAAAAGCUUCAUAGCUACGUCAGUGGUCAAGCAAAUUAUCACACAAGGAAAGUCAUGUGGUCUAUAGUGGGCACACUAGAAGCAUCUCCUGAAGCUCAGCCUUUCCCUGGCUGGGGACCCCUCUUCGCUCACCCCACUUGGUCUCUUGGGAUAAGAAAAUGUGUGCAGACCUUUCAGUCCACUAAGUAAGGCAUGAUCAUAAACCAUUAGAAAGUACCUGUUCCAUGUACUGGAAUUAAAGGAACAGUUGGGAAUUUUACGGAAAUUCUAUUCCUGUUACUAAAGAAAACAGCUCUUGAAUUCUGCCCUGUAUCCUUUUUAAUGGUAAGUCCAAAGUUAAGUUGUCAUAACAUAAAUCAAUGUGACCUGCUGGUACUCCACUUGCUGCAAAAGAAUCAGAAACUGUGUGAGAGACAGCAAACUUCCAUAAUAAGAAAACCAAUGUAGAAACUUCCAAAGGCUGCCAGUGGUUACAGUUACAAUGGUGUCUCUAUCGGAGCAGCCACAAAUGAAGCAGAAAUGCUAACCUCAGCAAGUUUCAAAAGAAUGCUGCUAAUCAUUUUUACAGGUUUAUUCUGAACCGAAGACAAGGAAUGAUCAGGAAGAAAUUCUGAUACGAUUUCUAAAUCACAACUGUACAUUAAGGGUCAUGUUUGCAAAACACCUAUCAAGGAAAGAAAAGCCAUACAAGAAAAUGCAGUUCAUAUGACUUUUAACAUUUUUCAGAAUAAUUACCAUCUCAAUUGCACAAAAUAACCAACUUUUCAAAGCAAAUGAGACUUCUGGUUAAACAUGGCAUUAACCUACAAGGACAAAAAGAAAGGAAACAGUGACUGAUAAGAGAUCUUAACAUAAUUCUGGAAGACAGGAAGCUCACAGAAGUAAUUGCUUAGUAGAGGAAACACUGAAACCUGAGUGCCCGCAGAGGGUGACUCGGCUGAGAAGGGAGCCAUGACAUUUGUAAAACUCUAAAAUGCUCAGGAAUCAGAGGUCCGGGGGCAAGACAUAGAGCCAAAAACAGGAGAUUGGUUAAAAAGCUAUAUGAAAAAGCUUGGCCAGGCAUGGUGGCUCACCCCUGUAAUCCCAGCAUUUUGGGAGGCCAAGGCAGGUGGAUCGUUUGAGGUCAGGAGUUUGAGCCCAGCCUGGCCAACAUGGUACCCCCAUCCCUACU
rnacentral:antisense_RNA from 1 species